rnacentral:rRNA from 1 species
UUCGGGAUUGUAAUUUGAAGAUUUGGCAUUGGAGAAAGCUAACCCAAGUUACUUGGAAUAGUACGUCAUAGAGGGUGACAACCCCGUCUGGCUAACCGUUCUCCAUGUAUUGCCUUAUCAAAGAGUCGAGUUGUUUGGGAAUGCAGCUCAAAGUGGGUGGUAAACUCCAUCUAAAGCUAAAUACUGGUGAGAGACCGAUAGCGAACAAGUACUGUGAAGGAAAGGUGAAAAGAACUUUGAAAAGAGAGUGAAAUAGUAUGUGAAAUUGUUGAUAGGGAAGGAAAUGAGCGGAGAGUGGCUGAGGUUUCAGCUUUCCUUUGGGAUUGUGUACUGCCGACGCCGAGUCAUUGACAGCGAGACGGGGGUUAUAAACAGGUUGCUCUUGAGCUUCCUACCUGACCCCCCCACUGCCGCCAACGACAUAAUCCGCCCAUUUCAC